rnacentral:rRNA from 1 species
CCUACGGGGCGCAGCAGUGGGGAAUAUUGGGCAAUGGGCGCAAGCCUGACCCAGCAACGCCGCGUGAAGGAAGAAGGCUUUCGGGUUGUAAACUUCUUUUCUCAGGGACGAAGCAAGUGACGGUACCUGAGGAAUAAGCAACGGCUAACUACGUGCCAGCAGCCGCGGUAAUACGUAGGUGGCAAGGGUUAUCCGGAUUUACUGGGGGUAAAGGGCGGGUAGGCGGGAAAGCAAGUCAGAUGUGAAAACCAUGGGCUCAACCUGUGGCCUGCAUUUGAAACUGUUUUUCUUGAGUACUGGAGAGGCAGACGGGAUUCCUAGUGUAGCGGUGAAAUGCGUAGAUAUUAGGAGGAACACCAGUGGCGAAGGCGGUCUGCUGGACAGCAACUGACGCUGAGGCGCGAAAGCGUGGGGAGCAAACAGGAUUAGAUACCCGGGUAGUC